GCGGCCCGCACAAGCAGCGGAGCGUGUGGUUUAAUUCGAUGUUACACGAAGAACCUUACCAGGGUUUGACAUGCAAGUGGUAGGAAGCCGAAAGGUGACCGACCCUUCGGGGAGCUUGCACAGGUGCUGCAUGGCUGUCGUCAGCUCGUGUCGUGAGAUGUUCGGUUAAGUCCGCUAACGAGCGCAACCCUCGCUGUGUAUUAUAUGUGUCACACGGGACUGCCGGUCUUAAGCCGGAGGAAGGUGGGGAUGAUGUCAAGUCAGCAUGGCCUUUAUAUCCUGGGCUACACACACGCUACAAUGGCCAACACAAUAGGUUGCUAAGCCGCGAGGUGGCGCCAAUCCAUAAAGUUGGUCUCAGUUCAGAUUGUAGGCUGCAACCCGCCUGCAUGAAGAUGGAGUUGCUAGUAACCGCAGGUCAGCUAUACUGCGGUGAAUACGUUCCCGGGGCUU
rnacentral:rRNA from 1 species